GAGAAGAUUGGCUUAGAUUACCUCUAAGGCGCCUUCCAGAGCUAAUAGCCGGUGACGAUCUGAUAAGAAGGCAGAAAGGUAACAAGAUCCGCCGCCCGCAGAACUCAGGGAAAGGCUUCCUGUGGCUGUCUCCAGUUCCUCUUCUGCCCUUCUCUCCUGAACUCACUCCAAUCGGCCGCCCUGCCCUUCCCUAAACUGCUUCUGCCAAGGUCACCAAGACCUCCAGCUAUGGAAGUCUGGAGCGACGACUCAAGUGUCUUCCUCGCCCCAGGGCACCGCUGACUUCCUCCCAGCCCCACCUUCACAGGCUCCUCUGCUGGUUCUUGUCACAGUCCCAGCCUCCUCCAUGGGAGUGCCCCAGUAUCCUUCUCUCCUCUAGCUGCUCUCCCUGGGGGGAUGUCCCACAGCCCACGGCUUGUGUACCUUCCACACAGUGAUGACUCCCAAAUGUGUGUCUCUGGCACCAACCUCCUUCCUGAGCUCCAACCUAUGGAGUCAGCUGCCCACCCAGCAUCUCCACCUGAACUUGCGCUAGAAACCCCUCACUUAAUACGCACAGCCUGCCUUUCCACCGUCUCCCUCCUCUCAGACAGCUGCAUUCUCCAGGAGGUCGGGUCCAGAACCUUGGCAUCUUCCUGGACCCCUCUCGUCCUCUCACAUCCCAUUCAUCGGCAUUGGCUGGAUCAUCCCCUCCACAGGCGUCUCUGUCUGGAUGGGCACUGGCCUUCAACCGGUCUCCCUAAACUUUCUUGGUGCUAGAAGAAUCAUUCAUCUUUGUACGAAUUGCCCCGCUCAGUCCUCGCAUGUCCCAAAAGGCUAGUAUUCCCACACAUCUACCUGCCCCCAUCACGGCUUCUCCCACUCACCCUUCACAAGCGCAGAGGAAAUAUUUUUGCUGGCAGCAGCUGUCCCUUAGCAUUUCUUAGCACACAAAAGAAAACCCCUGCCCAGUUUCUGACGUCAUCAGGCUCUGGUACAAAAGGAAAAUCAGAUAAUCCUAUCAGUUUGCUCCAGAGGGGAAAAAAGCGGAAAGUGGAUGGAAACAAGUUGAACCGCGUCACUGGUAU
rnacentral:lncRNA from 1 species